rnacentral:rRNA from 1 species
GAACCGUCCAAACGUUAUUCGGAAUCACUGGGCUUAAAGGGUGUGUAGGCGGUCCGGUAAGUUGGGUGUGAAAUCCCUCGGGCUCAACCGAGGGAACUGCGCUCAAAACUGCCGGACUCGAGGGAGACAGAGGCGAGUGGAACUUGCGGUGGAGCGGUGAAAUGCGUUGAUAUCGCAAGGAACACCAGUGGCGAAGGCGGCUCGCUGGGUCUCUUCUGACGCUGAGACACGAAAGCUAGGGGAGCGAACGGGAUUAGAUACCCCGGUAGUCCUAGCUGUAAACGAUGAGCACUGGGUCGGAGGCUCCUCCAUAGGCUUCCGGCCGAAGCGAAAGUGUUAAGUGCUCCGCCUGGGGAGUAUGGUCGCAAGGCUG